AUCUCUUACUUGCUUGUGUACCUAUCCUCGUUGCAUCAUAUAGGUUGCUCACCUAGUUGCAUUUCUAGACAACCUAUUUUGAUGCAAAGUUUAACUUGUUAAAGAAAAGCUAAAAAUUGUUAGUUGCCUAUUCACCCCCCUCCCUCUAGUCAACCAUAUCGAUCCUUUCACUAAGCGACUGUGCCAUCUUUCAGCAGAAAGCUUGAUGGCACCAUAGACUUGUUUAUUAAACUUGCAGUACUGAGGAAGCAACGCAUAUAGCCCUUGAACACAGACACCCCUAUGGAGAACUUUCUUCGUGACUUGGUCCUUGAUCAAAAAGAAAUACGGGUGAAAUUCUAGAAAGACAUCAUUAUCAAGGGCAAUGCGAUGAACUGAAAGAAGAGUUUUGGAAGCCUCAGGAACAUGCAAGAUUUCUUUUAAGACAAGAUCUUUAUGUGGGGUUUUGAUAAUUGAAUGACCAAUACGACUAAUCUCCAUACCUGCACCAUUAGCUGCGGUGUAGAUUUGAUCAUGACCAUGAUAUUUGUCAUGCAUGGUCAGCUUCUCCAAUUCUCCAGUGAUAUGGUUUGUCGCACCUGUGUCCAUGUACCAGUUGGUGUCGACUCCAUAUGACCCAUCGGCUGCAGCUGCAACUUUCUUUUUCUGGGAAUUGUCAUCAGCGUAGCGCCAAUCACAAUCCUUAGCAAUAUGAUUUGUUUUCUUACAUAUUUGACACUUCCCUUCAUAGCCUUCAUAACCUUGGAAGUUGCGUCCCCUGUUGUUGUUGUUGUAAGGAGGGCGCCGGUUGUUGUUAGGAUGAUAGCCGCUGCCACCGCCCUGAUAGCCACCUCCCUGAUAGCCGCCACCACCAUGAUUCUGGUGAUAGCUGCCGCCACCGUUCUGGUAGCCGCCACUGCUGUUAUUGUAGACGCUGCCACCGCCACCUCCUUGGUAGCCGCCGCCGCCACCAGCUUGAACACCGCUGCCACCACUUCCACCGCGAGAGCCGCCACUGUUGCCCCCGUUUCUCUAAUUGCGGUAGCCCCCUCUGCCUCCCUGGCGACCGCGGGAAGCGGCAUUUGCCGAGGAUUUGAAGCCACCGUUGCCAUUGUCGUGGUACAACUCGACCCUCUGAUCGAAGUUGGCCACGAGGGAGAAGAGAUGGUCGACCGUGAUGGGCUCGGCGCGGACAUCCAGCGCUGAGAUGAGCGGCUGAUAUUCCAUGUCAAGGCCGGAUACAAUGAAGGAGAUGAGCUCCGACUCCCUGAUCGAUUUUCCUGCCGCCGCGAGCUCGUCGGAGAGAGAUCGCAUGUAGCCGAAGUAGGUUGAUGCAGAUUGUGUGCCCUUCUGGGCGUUGGUGAGGGCAGCACGCAGGUUGUUGACUCGGGAGAGCGAGACCGCCGCGAACAUGUUGGACAGGGCAGUCCAGAUCGCAUGCGACGUCUCCAACGACGCCACUUGAACGAGGACCUCCUUGGAGAGGUUCCGAAGGAGGUAGGCAACAAUUUGCUGGUCCUGAACCAGCCAUGGGGGGUAGGCAGGGUUUGGCAGCACCUGAUCCUUGCCCUCUUUAUCCUUUGCGACGAUGUUCUUGGGAGGCUCCUCUAUGGUUUUGUCGAUGUAGCCGUACAAGCCAGCGCCCAUUAUUUGGGAUCGGGCUUGAACUCGCCAGAGGAUAUAAUUCGUCCUAGUGAGAGGCUCAGAUAUGUUGUAGUUGAGGCCGGUGGAGGGAAUAGCAGCGGAGGUGGAGAUGGUUGCGAUGGGGAUGAUCGAUGGAGGUUGAUGAUGAUGAUCGGUCAAGGUGGAUAAGCUAGAUGUGAUGGGAAGAGCCUGCUCUGUAUACCAUGUAAGAUUUCUAUGAAGCGUCUCAGGUUCCCUGGAAGGGAGCCCUCGCUAUUAUAUUGAACGAUGAGGAAGAGUCCUCACGAUGGAUUACAAGGUAUUGGUCAUAGGAGGGAUAACAGAGAGAGAGAGAGAGAGAUACAAGAUAAACAUACAAAGAGAAUCUAUCUCUAUUAACUAAAAGUAGCGCCCAAGGCAGCCUGAAGAUCUCCCUGUGAAUCACGUUUCAACAUGUAAUUGUGGCUCUAAAUGCAAUACAAAUUCAAACAUGUUGCAUUGGUUGGUGUAAGUUCCCAAGUCAGAAGUAAGAUUACUAAUGAUAUGGAGCAGUAAUACUGCGAUUGCAAAUUAUGGGAUGAUAGUUACUGCAGAAUAUUUGUUUAUGAACGCUGAUGGGAAAGUGUACCGACAUGAGGUACUCCGUUCUGAAUAGGACAGACUCGGGAAGAGUCUAAUUAACAAGAGCAAGUAGUACUCCUUUUGGUUCUACAGUACGAUAGAUCUUUAUUUUCUGAUGUCGACAAGGUGGUUGAUGAAAAUUCAAACAGCUGCAACUGAGGAAAACCAGAGAAACAAAAACAGGUUAGGCAACAUCCAAGAAGCAAACUAAACGUUCAUGUAAUCUGUUGGCGAGAGCCUUAUUUAGGUGUGUAUUUCUCAUUGAACAAGCUAUCUUAAUAUUAAGUUUGUAUUGUUUCCUGGAGUAUUUUCUCGGCUAUAAUUUAUUGCAGUAUAAUUGAUUUUGGCCUAUUUUGUUUUACUCCAUCCAUUCACUAAUAUAUGUAUAUUUCAAUAUGGACUAUGUAUAAACUGAAAUGAGUGAACAAACACACCAAAAUGCGCUUAUAUACUUCUGAAUCAGAAAAAGGUUAAAGAUCUUAUAUUUGUGAACAGAGAGUAUUAUAUUCGUGCUUGCAGUUGCGACAAUGACAGAUUACCAAUGCCAUUUGUUUUCACAUUAAGGGGCUCUAUACGGUUGUUCACUUAUGAUUUCUUCUGUCAUGCACAAGCACAACCAAGAGCUAACCAUUUAAAUACUAUAUAGCCAUGUGUUAUAUUUUUAAUUUAAUCAAUUUGUAACCAUAAUUUGUCGCAGCAACGUGCGGGGUAUCUUCUAGUUACACUAAACUGCGGUCACGAGUGUGAGGUCUAAACAGUCUCACAUUAAAGGCCCCUGUACUAUGCCAUCUUUCUUGAACAUGAUCUUCUUGUUAGCGUUUUCAAGUCAGCAUGUGUCACCUAUAUACAGUAAACAAAAGAGCAGGAAAUCUAAGCACACAUAAUUAAAAAUUUAGUGCAAAUAUUUCUAAGAUAGGUUAUACAUGCCACACAGGUGACAUAAACUAUCCAGUUAAAUUAAUUAGGGAGCAAGUACUCUAGAAAUACUAUGAUUCCGGCCUCUACGUCAUAUCAUGUUGGUCAUGCUGUGAGUAGGUGCAACUCUGCCUCCUCCACAGAAAAUCAAUAAUACUACCCUUAGAUAUGAUGAUACUCGUUUAUAAAUAAGAAUUAAGGAGACAUGAGAGGCCAGUUGAUCGAGUUGCAAGUACAUACGAGCGUGAAAGAUGGAAUACAAAUGUGCUUGUUUUUAAUAAGGAUGCAGUUUAUUACUGUACCUUGACUCUAUGCUGAAAUUCAUAGCUAACUCAGCAGAAUAUUUUUCAUGACUUCAGUACUAUUAAACAAGUGGGUGGACAUAGGCAUCUAACUAUGUUCUCAUUAAAGCCGCAACCAUCCAAAGAUUCUGAAAAUGCAAAAUCAGGUUCCAAAAGGAAAUGUGAGCUUCGUCAUCCUAUAACAUGAACUUUGAUUACGCUUGGCACCGGGGCUUGUUCUGUUUCUUUGGGAUAUGGGUUGUCAGAGAUAGGUUUUCUACUUUGGUUUGCCCUCGGAAUUUUCUAUAUUCAGUAAGAGAUUAAUUGCUUUCUUAAUUACCAACUCUGGAUUGAGUUACUAAUAUCUUCCAUUAAUCUGAACUGCCCAGAAGUAUUACAUAUAUUAGUGCUGGAAUAACCGUUCUUGUCGUCAUUUGUUUUCUACCAUCUAUUGAUCUGCUUUGUGGAUAUACUCGAGUUAAUUUUUUUCCCACCAACUGAUAGUGACAUCAAUAUCAAUUAUUUGCAGUAGUAUUUUGUCAAGACUGUGGGUACUAUUUAAAGCGAUGUCAGAAUUAUUUAUAAUUAUAAGUUUAUAACUGAAAAUAGGGAACAUGCAUGAGCUUCAAGACCAUGGUUCGUACAGUAUUGAGUAAGAAUGUUUUUUAGUUUGAUGAGGAUAAAUUCAGUUUUAGUAUUUUUUUACAGUACUUGUAAAUUCCUGAGCAAAAGACAAGAAACACACAUUCAGGUGUGUGUUUGACAAAAGGAAAUUCCUGAGCUUAAGCCUUCAGAGUUGUUGAAAGUUGAAACUAUAUACUUUCUAUAUCUGUAGUGUCAUCAGGGUGCAGCUCAUGCUUCAAUAUAUGCGAACCUCCAAUUUUUUUAUGCGAAUCUAUUUGACUCACAUGCUUAAUGGUAUAGAUUUUACUCUGAAUACUGUGGGAGAUGUCAUUUCAAGAUUGAACUAGCCUACUUUCUUGUAAUCCAUGAUGAUCACAUCAUUGUAGCGUAUAGAAAGGGGCUGGUUCAUUUGUUCGUCCAGCAAUGACGUCAACUAGGACAAGUUUCAUGCAGACGGUGCCCCACUCUACCUUCCGGAGGUUUCCAUGCUAUGGAUUCACAACCAUGGGCGUAUCUCUUCCAUGUGCUGUAGAGCAGGUGGACGUGGAUUAGGGGCCAGACCGAGCUGGACGACCGGUGUUUUCGGAGACAGAGGAUAAGGCCAACGAUAGCAGCUACACAGUGGGGUCUGGCAGGAUCAAUAAGGUGACCCGCAGGGCUUGGAACAUCCGCGAGACAUGGCCGCACCAGGGGAGCGCGUCUUCGGAAAGAUGAAUACGCCAGGCCAAUAAUAUAGACCUAUUAGCAUUCUUCAAACUACUAUAUGUCUACUCUGCUUUAUAAAAGGAAACUCUUCUGCUGCACUUCUAUUUUAAUCAUUGUAUCUUAACUGCAAUGUUCGAAUAUUAACAAGUACAUCAGUAUAACUGAUGCACAAAGUGACGCAGAGGAGGCGCGCCCCAACCAUUAGUGUUGAGUAAGAGUGUAGGACAUGUGGUUCAGCUAGGUAGGUAUGUAGCUGAUAGAACUGAAGGAAAU